rnacentral:lncRNA from 1 species
UGUGAGCCACUGUGCCUGGCAGGAACUAUUAUUUGACUUCACAAUGGCCUCAAAGUUCCAAGAGUAUGAUGCUGGCAAUCUGGAUAUGCCAAAAACCAGCCAUGAAGUCCUUCCUUUAGUUAAAAGGUGAAAGUUCUCAAGAAAAAAAAAAGUAUGCUGAGAUUGCUAAGAUCUACAGUAAGAAUCAAUCUUCUAUCCAUGAAAUUGUGAAAAAGGACAAAGAAAUUUGUGCUAGUUUUGCUGCUGUACCUAAAACUACAAAAGUUACAGCCACAGUGUGGGCUAAGUGCCGAGCUGAAAUGGAAAAGGCAUUAAAGGCAAGCGUAUACAGGGUUCGGUCCCAUCCGCAGUCUUAGGCAUCCCCUGGGGAUUUUGACAUGGAUCCCCCGUGGAGAAGGGGGGCUACUGUACAGUACACUUCCCUUCAGCAAGCCGCAUAUUCAAGUUCUCUAUUUCAGAUUCCCCUUCGUGACUGUCAUGCAGGAAGCAAAGAAAACCCAUUGUGUCCAAGGAAAUUUUUACUUUCUCUAGGGAUUCAGAAACCUGACUUUCUGAUACUCAGAAACUCAGUGCGCAUGGGUGAGAAGGCUCGGUAGGGAAGAGGUGCUUUGUAGCUCAGGAUCUGCUGGAGCUGAGGGCGUUUUUUGGUUUAAUCUAGUUUCACUGUGUGUUUCAUGGAGAGGUUCCUCUAGGAACAAAAGGUUCUAUGGAAGUCACGUCCUUUAUCCCUCUUAGCCAUCCCUGUGUCUGCCUUAGCCAACCUCCCAUUUGUAAAAAGAAAGCAGAGACCAGGCUAUGGCUGAAUAGUUUCAGACAGCCCCUAUACCACUGUCAGCCUUUGCAAAGUGUAAUGCUUUAAUUACAAGGGUCACACAAGGUCUUAAGACACAGGAGUCCCUGUGUCUGAACGUAAUCACUGUGUAUGCGUCUCAGCCUAAUGAGGAGGUGACUAUCAUGAAGGUCUGGUGGUGAAGAUCUUGCAAGAAGGUGCCUUGUUUGAGAUCUUUCAAGGAAACACAGUACUCAAUAAAUGUGGGAAUUAGAAACUCCACAUCUAACUUAGUUGCCUUGAGGAAGCAGCUAUGGCAACCAGAAAGUUCCCAGGAUCCUGUCUCCUAAAGGUAGCUGAAGCCUAAUCGACUGCAGGGGGCCUUUCUGUGGGAAGAUAACAGCAGCGCAGAGGCAAAGAAAAGGGAAGGCACGGCGGUGGCCCUUGUGGGGCGUUCUGGGAGAAGAGAUUAAUUCACCAAGUCCCUGCGCGGCACAGCAGGAUUACGGGGCUUUUACAAAACUGAAGACAAAAUGAAGAGCAGCAGCUUCUAGAAUAAGGCCAAGCACCAAAUUGAAGACUCGGUGGAGACUAUCACUUCAGAUGAUAGCAUGUCUCCAAGCAAGACAAAUGAAAGGGAAAAUGAAGCAAAGGGAGAGUGGGGAGCUACAAUAAAAACCGAGCUAUUCUUUG